AAUAGAUACCCAGGUAGUCCACGCCCUAAACGAUGUCAACUAGCUGUUGGGGCCUUCGGGCCUUAGUAGCGCAGCUAACGCGUGAAGUUGACCGCCUGGGGAGUACGGUCGCAAGAUUAAAACUCAAAGGAAUUGACGGGGACCCGCACAAGCGGUGGAUGAUGUGGAUUAAUUCGAUGCAACGCGAAAAACCUUACCUACCCUUGACAUGUCUGGAAUGCCGAAGAGAUUUGGCAGUGCUCGCAAGAGAACCGGAACACAGGUGCUGCAUGGCUGUCGUCAGCUCGUGUCGUGAGAUGUUGGGUUAAGUCCCGCAACGAGCGCAACCCUUGUCAUUAGUUGCUACGAAAGGGCACUCUAAUGAGACUGCCGGUGACAAACCGGAGGAAGGUGGGGAUGACGUCAAGUCCUCAUGGCCCUUAUGGGUAGGGCUUCACACGUCAUACAAUGGUCGGGACAGAGGGUCGCCAACCCGGCGAGGGGGAGCCAAUCCCAGAAACCCGAUCGUAGUCCGGAUUGCAGGCUGCAACUCGU
rnacentral:rRNA from 1 species